AUGAGGUCGAUUUUAUCCUCAGACACUCCACACAGCGAAUUAAUCCACCUGCAGUACAUGUCCUGUCCACCAGAGGGCUCCAAAUCUCCACAGCACUGCAGCACUGUUUCGUUUCCUUUAAUCACAAGUCUGCUUCCUGUUCCAACAAACACAUGCUGUGUGUUCCUCUUUCCUGAGUUUACUCUGUUGAUCUUUCUGUACUGGUUUCUGGAGAUUUUCUUUACUUUGGAGGAGUUUGACGGAGCACCACGUUUAUACGGUGAGGACAAUAUUAUUCUUGAUUUGGGGAAAACUGGAGGGAGAAAAACCCUCAAGAGACACAGAGAUUCAAGACUGCGCACUUUAAGAUGGAGUAGUGUCUGCACCACUGAUCAGAGUGAAGCGGUUGAGGUACUGGCGGCUGCAGGACGACCAGGAGAACACGCCGUUGUUCCCCGCCAGAGUAGGAGACAUGAUGUUCCCCUCCGCCUUCCUGCAGGGGUUCCCCUCUCCGUCGUGGAUCAUCCCGAAACUGAGACGGAGUGAGACAUCAGAAAAAUCAUAAGAAGAUGGCCUGGACACAUCCGAGGCACCAAAAACCUCUCAGUGGUGAAGAGACCAUAAAGGUGGGGCUGAAGUGAGAAAGUAAACCACAGGGUGAAGGAGUCACUGUGGAAACACUGGGAGAUGGUUACGGAGUCGUGGGCCACUGGGUCAAAAAGACACCAGUCCCUUCUCAUCCUCACCCCGUUCACCCUCGGGGCAAUUAAGCCUUCUGAAGCUCCCAUCAAAACGCUCAGGGUGGAGACGAGAAGAGCCAGGUUUACUGCAUGACUGCACAACAACAACAACACAACCAGGUCAUCUGAUCCGAACCGAUGUGGAGGGAACAGAGCGAGCCCACAGCCAGGAAGAGACUUCACUCCUGAGGGAUGAGUGAACGGAGCGAGCCCACAGCCAGGAAGAGACUUCACUCCUGAGGGAUGAGUGAACGGAGCGAGCCCACAGCCAGGAAGAGACUUCACUCCUGAGGGAUGAGUAAAUGGAGCGAGCCCACAGCCAGGAAGAGACUUCACUCCUGAGGGAUGAGUAAAUGGAGCGAGCCCGUUCAUUACAGCUAACAUUAUAACUAAUGUCACGGUCAGCAAUACACCACAGUACAGCUAAUAUUACAGCUAUCAUUAUACCAACUGUCACAGUGAACAGCUAGCAUUAUAGCUAACGCCAUCAUUAGCAAUAUACCUCACAAUACUGCUAAUAUUACAGCUAACAUUAUAGCUAACCUCAAUGUGACCAUUAUACAGUACAGUACAGCUAAUAUUACAGCUAUCGUUAUACCGUCACAGUGAACAGCUAAUAUUAUAGCUAACGUUAUAGUUAGCAUUAUACCUCACGGUGCAGUUAACGUUAUAGUUCCAUCACAAUUAACUAAUAUUACUUAGCUAAUAUUACAGCUAACAUUAUAGCUAACGUCACUGUUAGCAUUAUACCUCAAAGAACAACUAAUAUUACAGCUAACAUUAUACCUAAUGUCACAGUUAACCGCUAAUAUUACAGCUAACGUUAUAGCUAGCAUCACAGUGAACAUUAUAUACCAUGGUAUAGCUAAUAGUGCAGCUAACACUAUAGCGACUACAUGCUAACACUGCUAAAUGACAGUGUUGGCUACAGUAGAGUGAGCUCUGUGUACAGUAUGUGAGUGGACUGGGGGAGUUUAAAGAGAUGGGCAGUACGUGUGUAUUUUUAAAAUCUGCUUAUUAAACAAACCCAGAAACUCGUAGUUACAUGACCGCUCGGCGGCGGUGUGAUACGGCCGGCAUUUUAAUCCUCAGAGCAGAUCGUGGGCAGACUCUUUACUGGUCAGGAAGAAAAGCUGCAUGAAAAACUACACUGUAAUUUCCAUUCAGUAAUCAGAGGAGUUUCUGUGUGUUCAUCAUCAAACACCAAACUGACCCUGUUAUUUAAACCAGGAAAAUUAUACACUCUAUGUGUGUGUGUGUGUGUGUGUUUGUGUGCAUGUGAGAAUGUGUGUGUGUGAGUGUGUUUUUGAGUGUGUGUAUGUUUGUGUUUGUGCGUGUGUGUGUAUGAGUGUGUGUUUGUGUGCAUGUGAGAAUGUGUGUGUGUGAGUGUGUUUUUGAGUGUGUGUUUGUGUGUGUGUGUGUGUAUGAGUGUGUGUG